rnacentral:rRNA from 1 species
GACGAACGCUGGCGGCGUGCCUAAUACAUGCAAGUAGAACGCUGGAGGAGGAGCUUGCUCUUCUGGAUGAGUUGCGCACGGGUGAGUAACGCGUAGGUAACCUGCCUGGUAGCGGGGGAUAACUAUUGGAAACGAUAGCUAAUACCGCAUAACAGUAGAUGUUGCAUGACAUUUGCUUAAAAAGUGCAAUUUUACCAUUACCAGUUGGACCUCCCUCGUAUUAGUUAGUUGGUGGGGUAAAGGCGCAACAAGGCGACGACACAAAGUCGGCCAGAGGGGGGGGACGGCCAACACUGGAACGGGAACAGGCCCAGGACUCCAAGGGGGGCAGCAAUAAGGGAUCUUUGGGAAUUGGCGGAAGGCUGACCGGGCAACGCCGGGUGGAUGAAGGAAGUUUUCGGAUUGUAAAGAUCUGUUGAAAGGGGAGAACGAGUGGUAUAGUGGAAAGUGCACACUGUGACGGUAUCUAACCAGAAAGCGACGGCUAACUACGUG